UCCGUUGUAGUCUAGCUG
rnacentral:siRNA from 1 species